rnacentral:rRNA from 1 species
UGGCGGACGGGUGAGUAAUGUCUGGGAAACUGCCCGAUGGAGGGGGAGUAACUACUGGAAACGGUAGCUAAUACCGCAUAACGUCGCAAGACCAAAGUGGGGGACCUUCGGGCCUCACACCAUCGGAUGUGCCCAGAUGGGAUUAGCUAGUAGGUGGGGUAACGGCUCACCUAGGCGACGAUCCCUAGCUGGUCUGAGAGGAUGACCAGCCACACUGGAACUGAGACACGGUCCAG